rnacentral:rRNA from 1 species
GGGUCAGUAGGUUGGUCGUGCCACCGGUACGUACUGGUCUCACUGAUUCCUCCUUCCUGAAGAACCGUAAUGCCAUUAAUUUGGUGUUGCGGGGAAACAGGACUGUUACUUUGAGACAAUUAGAGUGUUUAAAGCAAGCAAACGCUUGAAUACAUUAGCAUGGAAUAAUGAAAUAGGACGAUCGAUCCUAUUUUGUUGGUUUCUAGGAUUGACGUA